ensembl:lncRNA
GCGGCGGCGGCGGCGGCAGCCUCGGCAGGCAUUCCGGCGGCGCGGGCGGCCGCUGUCCUCGCGCGACCCCGACCCGUCCAGAGCGCGCCCCGGGCGACCCUCGAGGAGGAGCGAGGGGAACGAGUGCGGUCCGGGCGCCCGAGCAAGAAAAACACAGUAAAGGAAUUAAAGGCUUCCUACCUCUGUCCAGGAUACCCUUUGAUGUUUUCUCAAAUAGAGUCACACACUCAGCUGGGAUGAAAACUCGGAGGACACAAAGUGACCUGAGGUUCUGCAUCAUCAAGAGGAAUACCGCAGGAGUGCCCGGUGCCGUAUCAGGGAGCCCUCGACGUCACCGUGUCCUACUUCUUGUGACGGGAACUUUCAUCACUUUGUAAACAUGGUGUCUGUCAGAAGUAGCUCCAGAAUUUAAAUGUACAUAUCACAGUCUACCGUCAAAUGCUGUACCACUUCACAUAUAAUGAUCUGAAACCAUCCGUGGGGCUCUUGGACGCACGCGUCUACACGGGGCUUUCCAGGGUGGCGUCUUCGCCGCGCACAGAAAUCCUGUUCCCUGGAGCCCUUUGCCGCGUUCCGCCGGGCCUCCCCCACCCACACUGCGCCCACCCCCGCUAAUGGGCAUGUUUCCGUGAACACUGAAGACGAAAAACAUGCGAUUUUGAAUGUGUCUCUUUCAUGGUCACACAUUUCUUUUCAUUGUGCGCCUUGGCUGAGCCACGCUUCCAAUUCCCAGGGACCCUCCUGGGCUCCGCUUGCAGAGCAUUGUUGCACUUCGACAGCCCCUCCCCCGAGAGCCAGAGGUCGCUGGACCCUGGAUUGUGUAGGGUGUCUCUGAAAGCACUCUCAAUAAAAAGCUCCGGGUCUUUGCCUCUGGUUUCCCUGUGCUGUUGGGGCUCUGAUCUGGCUGAUCCAAGAUUCGUUCCGCGGCCCUGCACACCCGGGUACUUCUUGAGACGCACCGGCUUCCAGAACUUUGCACAACACCGCGACCGCAAGCACUCCGGCUGAGGCCGUUUCCGGUUGCCUUCCUACAGGCCAGUCAUUUCCUGGCCCGGAGGCAUCUCC